UAUUGACCAUUCCAAAUCAGGAGGUCCAAUUUUGGGGAAAAUAACCAAGAUUAAUGGUCAAAGAGAUGUACUGCGUGACCAUCACAUGUAAGAGGUUUCCCCCACCUAAAAGUACUCAAAUUCCUUGAGACCUUUUAACCUUUCUAGUCUUCACAGAACAUGUCCUUAUGCGCACAGAAUGGCACAGAAACUGUCUUCUAUGUGUAGAUGGACCAAAAUCAUCUUAAAAGGACUUAUGAGCAACUAAUAAUUUCUAUGCAUAACUCCAUAUUAUGUAUGUAACCCACACAUUUGACUAUCAUGUUUUAAUCACUUAUUGUGUAUGUGUUGUCAAUAACUAUAGAAUAGCUUAAGAGUUCAUAUUCAUGUUUGGUAUGUAUGAGUUUGAAAAAUCAUGCUUGAAACGCUUCUUUCAAUUAAUUCUUUGUCAAAUGUAUCAUAUUCUGGUUAUAGAAAUCACAACCAAAAGUAUACUUUGCAAGAGAGUGUAAAGUUCGGACAUGUGACUGACCAGAUAACAUGCUGAUUUAUGAUGGGGAGGAGAAACAGAGCAACACCCCAAGCUAAGAUAAUAUCUAAUUGGUCAACACACCCCUUGGGAUGUGUCCAAAAGCCGAGUUUAAAAACUCAGGACACCAUCACAUCUCUCUCUUCUGUUAGCCAUGCUGUUUGCCCGUGAAUUCUUCGACCGCUGUUCCAGCGUGCUCUGGCCUACAUGCCAGCUGCUACUUAACACCACGAUGAGAAGAAAAACCACCUAGUCUCGUUAAAUGCUUUUAUUCUUUUACUUUCAUUUCUUUGCGUUAAGAGUUUCGUUAAGCUUGCCGCAAAGUCCAGCUCCAACUGCACCAGCUUCAAACUUCAACCAGCAACUGACUCCAAAACCAUCUUCAGCCAAUGCCCAACCAUUGGCUUCCCUAGACAUCACUGCAAAGACCACUGAACUGUCAGCCAAUCAGCAACCUUUCUGCAAAGAUGACAACAAAAGAAAUGCCUGAGAUCUAUUUAUCUAACCUUGGAACUCAGCAGGAUUCCUCCCCGGACAUGUGGGCGUAAGAUGCCAGACACCACUGGAUGUGGGGACGGACCAUAAAAACACAAAAACUUUCCUCAAGACUUCAUUUAUGACAUCGGACAGAAAUGGACAAACAAUUGUACAAACAACGGAAUUCCACAUAUGCCAAUUUCCACAUCUGGAUGUCCUUAACAGGUCACGGGGUCAACACCAUGUGGGUGGGCCACGUGGAGGAGGGGAAAGGUCAAAGCCAUAAAUCAUUCUUGACACUCUGUGAAUCUUAUUCAUAACUCACAGACCUGUACACAAUUCAUAUGGUUAUAUAGUGUAUAUCAGCUGGAUAUCUUUGACUGGGAUUCUGUUAUUUGAUUUUGCUGUCAUUCAAUUAUUGCACUAAUUUGUCAAAAUUAUUUAGUAUUUUACAUGAAUUACAUAUUUUCCAAUAAAUAAAUAAAUAAAAUAAUUAAAAACGAUAUCAGGUGUAUUUUACAUAAUCUGUAGAUGGCAGUAAGGCUGUUCUCAGUGUCCUGCUAUAACUAAAUUACCAAAUAUUUCCAUUUAUAUAUAUAAAAUCCAUACUAUGGAAGUCAAUGGGACCACUGACUGUUUGCUUAUCAACAUUCUUCAUCUUUUGUGUUCAACAUAAGAAAGAAAGUCAGACAGGUUUGGAACAACUUGAGGGUGAGUAAAUGAUGACAGAAUGUUAAUUUUUGGGUGAACUAUCCUUUUAAUUGUACAUAUUUGUAUGUAUGGCAUGUAUACACUUUAUGUAUAUGAUGCAUUGUUAUCCUGAACUAAACUCCUCUCUCAAUAUAUUUCACUUUAACAGUAAUUGUAAUUUAAACAGUCAUUGUUCUUAAGUGUGGCAUCUUUUAACCAGUGUUCGAAUUGAGGGGGGCUGGGGGGGUCCUGGACCUCCCAUAUGCAUUAAGGAAUCCCCCAUAAAGCCCAAAAAAAUGAACUUGGGGGCUCCCUUGGUUUUUCAAUAAAAUUAUAAUACUUGAAACAUGAAACUAAUGAAACUGAAAAUUAAAUUAAAAGUGUUGACUGCUGUAGACCUGUUCAUGGCACAUCGUAUUUUUUAUAUGUUUUUACAGCGUUGCACAUUAUAACCUGUUGAGGAAAAAUUCCUUUAUAUAGAUUUUUGUAUGAUUCUAUAUGCUUAUGAAACAUUAUGUAGUGUAUGCUUUACUUAGAACUGUUAUGAAGUAAGUAUGAGAUAUGGUUUGGGGCCUAAAUAUAGGGGGACCGAGCUUUAGAAGUAUGAUAUAGUAGAAUGUUUUUUACUUUCUUACCAUGGGUGGAAAAGUACAGCCGUUAAGAGUUUGUAACCUUGAGUAGAGAAGAGAUAUAAGGUGGAGGAGCACCCUCCCUCUUUGUCGCACUCUGCAAAAACCUGUGUGUCUGUAUGACUGUUGACCUUCUUUGCAAAGAAUAAAACCUUUAAAAGACAAGUGAGAGUGAGUUUGUCUCUUAUGCUGGUGAGAGUUAUUUAAAAUUGCCACAACAAUUUGGUGUCAGAAGUUGGGAUUCCUUGGAUGUGCCUUUUGGACCCUGCGAGCGGACGGUGACUGGUCAUCUUGGACUCAAAGAAGUCACAGCCCUACCCCGACUUGAUUGAGGGACAAGGGACCGACUGCCGGGGCCCGGAGGGGACACCACUGGAAUCAAUAAAUGAACCCAGGUGGCGACGGGACUCUCCGAAAGUACCAGAGAAGAGAUGAAGAUCCUGCCAAGACGAGGAUGAUGAUGGUGAAGAUGAGACCAAUCAGACAUUUCUGGCAGCUCCUUCUCUUUUUCUGUGUCUGAUCCGGAUCGACGCGAGGAAUCUGUGGAUAAACGCACAACAGAAGCCCUGAGCGAACAUCUUUCACGUGUCGGUGUCGCUGUCUCGAUUCGGAUCCGAUCCGAAUCCGUUCCCGAGCUCCAUCACGAACCGAACCGAACCGUUAUCUGGCGCUCAUCCUCGGCUCUCGGUCCCGGUUCUGCAGGUUCUUAGCAGGAUCCAGGUGGCUCACAUGUUCUGAGGGAAUCGCUCGGUGAGUCGCAGUGUUUGUCCGUCCAAAGUCCGCUGCGGAUCAAUAACCGGCUCUGCUGGUCUGAGGACAGUCCGUGGACAGCCUCGCUUUGCAUUGCUGAGAUUGUGUGAGAAUACGAAUAACGGGUCUCUCUACAAGUCAACACCUAGCAACGCGCGCUCACCUGCGCGACGCUCGUGACGUCACUCCGUCGGGUCCCACCUGUGCGCGGCUGACGCUCCUCCUGGACACGAUCAACAUGCGGCCCUUUCCGCUCUGAUUUGCGUCAAGGACUGGACUGGGGGACAGACCAAGAAAAGCAUUCCCUUGAUGAAAAACACUUGUUGUUUGUAUUUAUAGUAAAAAUGCAUCCGCUGUUCAUUGCUAUUUUACACUUAUGAUUAAUCAACUAUUAUUAUUAUUGGUGUAUUUCCAUUAGGCUACUACAAAUCAGCACGUUCCUAAACUUAGUAUGGAUAGGACAUUGAUCUAACCAUUUGGAUAAAACAGUUCCAUGAAACGUAUUUGACUGCAGUUUUAUUUAAAACUCAAUACUUAUGAAAUCAUUCAUUUAUAGUCCCCAAUUAACCCUGUGAGAAGACAUUUUAUAGGAAAGAAUUUUCCUUCAACCAGUUCACUGUCCUUGAUAUAAUCAAAUCAGCUGAGAAAAACACUGAUGCAUUUCUGAGGAUCCUUUGAACCACGGGCAUCCAAACAGAGAAGAUUCAAGUUGUGGUGAAUCAUGACAGAAAUUGCCGAAGUUUCUCCAAGAACACAGCACCUCAAACAGACCUGCAGGCGUCUAAUAGGAAUGAUGUAAAGUUAUAAGCAAAGGAAACACAUGCAGACAUGCAGCUCACCUUACGUGUUUUAUCUGCCAAUGAAAGAAAUCCAUACAGGAACUGCAACUUUUUCAUUUAAAAACUAUUUUAAACAAAAAUGUAUUCAACAUUCAGCACUGAAGUGCAACAAUAUCACCGUGAUUCUGUCCCCCAGAUUAAUUUUUCACCAUGUUUAUUUUGGUUGUUGCAAUUUAUAUUUCCCUUUUUUAUUUGAUUUAUUAUUAAACACAUUUCUUGCCAUUAUCACUGUAAAAAAAUUCAACUUUCGAAAAGUUCUACUAACCAAUGUAAAAAAGUAGCCUGAACAAAGAAUGUUUAGUAUGAGAAGUCAGUUUAAUUUUUUGUGUGAACUGAACAAAAAUACUCUAAACAUGUCGCUAGCAGAAGUUGUUUUGUUUACCUUACUUCCAUACUCAAGUAUUUGUUCACAACAUAUCCAAAUGUUCUCCCAACUUUUCAAAUUGAGUCAUCUGAACAAACGAUUUUACAUUGAACAAUAUUGCACAAGUUCCCAGCAUGCAUUGCAGCUUGAAAACAUUUUAUGUUCAUUAUUAUUAAAAUAUUAGCAUUGUUUUAAAUUUUACUGGCUUAAUUUAUGCUGCUGCUGCUUUUGUCGCUUACAGUUAGCUGUCAUGUGGAUCAGAGUUCAUAUUUAUACUGAUUUAGGGUUUGUUGAUCCUCACCAUGAUUGAGAAUCGUGCGCUGAGGUACUGUAUAUGUGCAUCUCAGUGCAACUUGUUUAAUACAUUUGUCUAUUAGAAUACAUGUUUGCCUUUAGUUUUAAGAGGCAAAUACUAUCCAUAUGAUGUAGAAGGCUUUGAAAAUAAACAUAAAUCUAAAAGAAAGAGGAUUAUUAAAAAAAGAUUAGCAUUGCUAAAUGCUAAAACAUCUUUGGUUGCUCUGACAGAUCUUUUAACACUUGGUAGACUGACUUUUAUUCAUUAGAUGAACUAAAGUUUUUAAGUUGUCGGUUGCUAGUUGAGUUCACUUAAAAAGUUGAUUGCGAUAGGUUGCUUUGUUUUUUUGAGUUAGGUCAACUUUCUUUCUUUUUUACAGUGUGACACACCGCAGUGAAACAACAAUACUUUUAUACUAUAACACUCAUAGGUCUAUAACACCUAAGAUAGGAAAAACCUAUCU